rnacentral:rRNA from 1 species
GAUGAACGCUGGCGGCGUGCCUAAUACAUGCAAGUCGAGCGAACGGACGAGAAGCUUGCUUCUCUGAUGUUAGCGGCGGACGGGUGAGUAACACGUGGAUAACCUACCUAUAAGACUGGGAUAACUUCGGGAAACCGGAGCUAAUACCGGAUAAUAUUUUGAACCGCAUGGUUCAAAAGUGAAAGACGGUCUUGCUGUCACUUAUAGAUGGAUCCGCGCUGCAUUAGCUAGUUGGUAAGGUAACGGCUUACCAAGGCAACGAUGCAUAGCCGACCUGAGAGGGUGAUCGGCCACACUGGAACUGAGACACGGUCCAGACUCCUACGGGAGGCAGCAGUAGGGAAUCUUCCGCAAUGGGCGAAAGCCUGACGGAGCAACGCCGCGUGAGUGAUGAAGGUCUUCGGAUCGUAAAACUCUGUUAUUAGGGAAGAACAUAUGUGUAAGUAACUGUGCACAUCUUGACGGUACCUAAUCAGAAAGCCACGGCUAACUACGUGCCAGCAGCCGCGGUAAUACGUAGGUGGCAAGCGUUAUCCGGAAUUAUUGGGCGUAAAGCGCGCGUAGGCGGUUUUUUAAGUCUGAUGUGAAAGCCCACGGCUCAACCGUGGAGGGUCAUUGGAAACUGGAAAACUUGAGUGCAGAAGAGGAAAGUGGAAUUCCAUGUGUAGCGGUGAAAUGCGCAGAGAUAUGGAGGAACACCAGUGGCGAAGGCGACUUUCUGGUCUGUAACUGACGCUGAUGUGCGAAAGCGUGGGGAUCAAACAGGAUUAGAUACCCUGGUAGUCCACGCCGUAAACGAUGAGUGCUAAGUGUUAGGGGGUUUCCGCCCCUUAGUGCUGCAGCUAACGCAUUAAGCACUCCGCCUGGGGAGUACGACCGCAAGGUUGAAACUCAAAGGAAUUGACGGGGACCCGCACAAGCGGUGGAGCAUGUGGUUUAAUUCGAAGCAACGCGAAGAACCUUACCAAAUCUUGACAUCCUUUGACAACUCUAGAGAUAGAGUCUUCCCCUUCGGGGGACAAAGUGACAGGUGGUGCAUGGUUGUCGUCAGCUCGUGUCGUGAGAUGUUGGGUUAAGUCCCGCAACGAGCGCAACCCUUAAGCUUAGUUGCCAUCAUUAAGUUGGGCACUCUAAGUUGACUGCCGGUGACAAACCGGAGGAAGGUGGGGAUGACGUCAAAUCAUCAUGCCCCUUAUGAUUUGGGCUACACACGUGCUACAAUGGACAAUACAAAGGGCAGCGAAACCGCGAGGUCAAGCAAAUCCCAUAAAGUUGUUCUCAGUUCGGAUUGUAGUCUGCAACUCGACUACAUGAAGCUGAAUCGCUAGUAAUCGUAGAUCAGCAUGCUACGGUGAAUACGUUCCCGGGUCU